rnacentral:lncRNA from 1 species
CAGAAUCCACACAGCAAAAGUCGCUCUUGAUCAGAGUAGGACUAUAAACAUGUAGUUCCAUUGGCCUGGAACUAGAUUCUGAUAGUGAAUCAGUCCAUCUGAUAGUGCAUGGACCACGCGGAGUCACUAGUGUCGCUGUGAGCACAAUGACUCAAUCCCAUCUUGUCGCUUCCUGCCUUGAUGCGGACUACCUUGCUUGGG